GACGAACGCUGGCGGCGUGCUUAACACAUGCAAGUCGAACGGAAAGGCCCUGCUUUUGUGGGGUGCUCGAGUGGCGAACGGGUGAGUAACACGUGAGUAACCUGCCCUUGACUUUGGGAUAACUGCAGGAAACUGGGGCUAAUACCGGAUAGGAGCUCCUGCUGCAUGGUGGGGGGUGGAAAGUUUCGGCGGUUGGGGAUGGACUCGCGGCUUAUCAGCUUGUUGGUGGGGUAGUGGCUUACCAAGGCUUUGACGGGUAGCCGGCCUGAGAGGGUGACCGGCCACAUUGGGACUGAGAUACGGCCCAGACUCCUACGGGAGGCAGCAGUGGGGAAUAUUGCACAAUGGGCGGAAGCCUGAUGCAGCAACGCCGCGUGCGGGAUGACGGCCUUCGGGUUGUAAACCGCUUUCGCCUGUGACGAAGCGUGAGUGACGGUAAUGGGUAAAGAAGCACCGGCUAACUACGUG
rnacentral:rRNA from 1 species